rnacentral:tRNA from 1 species
GCCAACGUAGCUCAGUUGGUAGAGCAGUCCCCUCGUAAGGGACAGGUCACCGGUUCGAGUCCGGUCGUUGGCUCUA